AUCCAUAUGACGAGUGUUAAACAGGACGAAAUGGGCAUCCUGGAU
rnacentral:hammerhead_ribozyme from 1 species